CUUCGGGGGACAAAGUGACAGGUGGUGCAUGGUUGUCGUCAGCUCGUGUCGUGAGAUGUUGGGUUAAGUCCCGCAACGAGCGCAACCCUUAAGCUUAGUUGCCAGCAUUAAGUUGGGCACUCUAAGUUGACUGCCGGUGACAAACCGGAGGAAGGUGGGGAUGACGUCAAAUCAUCAUGCCCCUUAUGAUUUGGGCUACACACGUGCUACAAUGGACAAUACAAAGGGCAGCUAAACCGUGAGGUCAUGCAAAUCCCAUAAAGUUGUUCUCAGUUCGGAUUGUAGUCUGCAACUCGACUACAUGAAGCUGGAAUCGCUAGUAAUCGUAGAUCAGCAUGCUACGGUGAAUACGUUCCCGGGUCUUGUACACACCGCCCGUCACACCACGAGAGUCUGUAACACCCGAAGCCGGUGGAGUAACCAUUUAUGGAGCUAGCCGUCGAAGGUGGGACAAAUGAUUGGGGUGAAGUCGUAACAAGGUAGCCGUAUCGGAAGGUGCGGCUGGAUCACCUC
rnacentral:rRNA from 1 species